GCUAAGAAAGCAGAUUGAUGCACCUGCUUACAUCGAAUGCAGUGCGAAGUCGCAGCAGAAUGUGAAGUCGGUGUUUGAUUCAGCCAUCAAAAUCGUUCUUCAACCUCCCAAGCCGAAGAAAAAGAAGAACAAAGCCUGCUCGAUAAUGUGAGCGGAAAAGGAAAAUGUA